CCGGCCCGGCUGCUGCCGCCCCGGGGAGGCCCAACAGGCGUUGCUGCUUUUGAAAUUUAAAUCUCGUCUGCUGCGGCGGCGAUCGGAGAAACGAGACAGAAAGCGGAGAGGUGGCGUGGAGAAGGGAACCGGAGUCACACCGCUGAAGAUGUCUGGGGUUCGUUUGGUGUUUUAAUGUCAUGUAACUCCAGUGGUUACCGGACCAGUGGGAGCAGUGACGUCAGCACCUACAGCUCUUCAAAUAAGGGAAUUGUGCUCACAAUGCACUCUGCUAAGAGCCUAAGAAGUCCUCCAGCAGUACCAGCCUUUAUAGUCAUGCUAUUUCGGAAGUAAACAACAAUCAAGGGAAAACAACAAAUUUUAAAAAGUUACACAGGUCUUCAUUAUAUAUUAUAAUUGAAUUCCCCCGCCCACCCCCGAUCUUCGUGAGAGCAAUGCCUUAUAUUGACUGUAAAUCUAGAAUUAAAGACAUAAGCCUCCA